GUAAACCGAAAUGUUCGUCAACGGAGACGUUUGAAAACCGAGCUUGAAGAUCUGCGGCCUGCCCAAGCGUUCAGGCGGAUCAGGAACUGUUAACCACCAGAGACCUUGUGGAGUUUCUUAUCCCUUUGGCCUUGAGAUGGUUAAUUCAGAGGGCCUCCUGGCUGCCGCAGCUGGGACCGAGUUGGGGGGUGGUGGUGAGUGGUGUAACUGAGGAAGUGUCCUGACACGCAGCGAACAGGUCAGAAGUGACGGCACACAGUCCUCCCAUCCCUGCGGGGGCCCAGCCCGCCCUGCGCCGAGGGAGUGAACCUCCAGCGAGCAAUAGCAGCCGUGGGCGGGCGGGCAGACGCUGGAGGGGCCACCCGAGGGGGCAGGUCUCUCCGGAGAGCAGCCAGUUCAUAAAGGCUGCGCGGAAGGACACUGCUUCAGUGUAGGCGCGCUGCAAACACGAGACGCAUUCUCCCCAGAGGGGAGCAGACCGUGCCUUGGCGGUUAGGAGAGGAGAUUGCCGGGCCUGGAGCAGCCAGAACCAGAUGGUGAUAUUUAUGCUUCUCAUCUCAGCCUGGUAGCCUGACCUUGAUUCCUGAGUUCCCCGAUCCCUUCACAACUGCAAGUCAUUCUCAUACAAAAUUUGACUUUACCUAGUCUGCACCUUUGAGAGUUUUGGAACAAUAUGCAAGUUCAAGUCACCAUCAUGUUGUCUUGCUGACUCUCAUGUGACAAGACCAGCAUUUGAGUUGCUUGCUUCUGCCCUUGUUCUUCUGCCUGUUGCUCCCUCUGCAGCUGUCAAUCACAUACAUGUGUAGUCAUACAAAAGCUGUUUGCUUUUUCUAUUUGUCUUGUGAAUGUUGUCAUUUGCUUCUUAUAUAUUAUAUUAGUGUUGUGUACCACUCAGUGAUAUAAAACUUUCAAUAAUUGUAAAUUUGCAUAAGUUCGGGUGAGAAUGGCACCCAAGCAAAACAAACAAACAAACAAACCACCAAUAAAAGACAAAAACAAGAAACUGGAUGAUAGAAAUGCAAGACAAGUGAAGAGGGCAAGAAAGAUGAUGUCUGU